GAGCUGGCCACGCACCUGACGGAAAAGUUUCCUGAAGCUGUUCUGUUCAGUGACUUUAUUUCAGACGAACCAGCUAACGACCUAUAGAUACGUCACUAGAUACACACCAACUAGAACCUCCCUCUCACAACUCGCGCGCGUGUGCGUGCGUGUGUCUGUGUCAGCUGACUGGGUUGGUGUCAUGUGAUUUCUGUCCUGAAUCAGAGCAGAGCAGAGCGGCUGGCUGGCUGAAACAAUGGCUCGGUUCGGAGCUCUCCUCUGUUUUCUCUCUGUUCUCUUCUCCCAAGGGCUUCCCUCUCCGCUGGCGGGUAAAGAAGUAUGGGACUACGUGGAAGUGAGACCCGGGGCCCACAUGUUCUGGUGGCUGUAUUAUGCUGACACUCCGUCUGCUAAGUAUCAGGACCUGCCGCUGGUCAUGUGGCUGCAGGGAGGACCAGGAGGAUCAGGGAGUGGCUUUGGUAACUUUGAAGAAAUUGGACCACUGAACAGAGACCUGGAGCCCAGGAAGACGAGCUGGGUGCAGGCAGCCAGUGUGCUGUUUGUGGAUAACCCAGUGGGCACCGGCUUUAGCUACGCUGAACAGCCUGACGGCUUUGCCACCAACGUUUCCACUGUGGCCUCAGACAUGCUGGUGCUGCUCAAACAUUUCUUCACACAGAUGCCAGAGUUCCAGACCAUGCCCUUCUACAUCUUCUCUGAGUCCUAUGGGGGAAAGAUGGCUGCUGCCAUCUCACUGGAACUCAGCAAGGCUGUAGCUCAAGGCUCAGUGAAAUGCAACUUUGCAGGUGUGGCACUUGGAGACUCGUGGAUUUCCCCGUUGGACUCUGUGAUGACAUGGGGUCCAUACCUUUAUACCACUUCCCUGCUGGACAACAACGGCCUGGCUGAUGUCAACAGUGCAGCGGAGAAGGUGAAGCAAGCUGUGGAGCAGCAGCAGUUUCUGAAAGCCACUGAGCUGUGGUCGGUCACUGAGACAGUGGUGGAGCAGAACACCAAUGGGGUGAACUUCUACAACAUUCUAACCCAGCAACCAGAUGAGAAAGUCACUACUGCUGCAGGAGAAAACUUCAUCUCUCUGCAAGCCCACCGCCACAUUCGCCCUCUGCACAAGCAGUCACUGAACGAACUGAUGAACGGACCAAUAAGGAAGAAACUGGCCAUCAUCCCUCAGAAUGUCACUUGGGGAGGUCAAGCAGAAGACGUGUUCAGCAACAUGGCCGGUGAUUUUAUGAGGCCAGUGGUGGAUAUAGUGGACCAGUUGCUGACAGCUGGAGUCAAUGUGACGGUUUACAAUGGCCAGCUGGAUCUUAUAGUGGACACUAUGGGUCAAGAGCUUUGGGUGAAGCAGCUAAAGUGGGAGGGACUUCCUGGUUUCAGCCAGCUGAGGUGGACCCCCCUGGAAGACCCAGCCUCCCCAGGAACCACUGGAGCCUUUGUCAAGAAUUACAAAAACUUUGCAUUCUACUGGAUCCUCAAAGCUGGUCACAUGAUUCCUUCAGACCAGGGAGCCAUGGCCUUGCAGAUGCUGAAGAUGAUCACGCAGCAGGACUGAAUGUUGUGCCAGCUGGGACGGCUCUGACAAUCACAGAAAUUCUUCUUCUUUUUUUUUUUACUUGCUUUCCAAAAUUGACUUUGAUAUCAGGUGAUGAAUGACCAUAAAACAGAACCUUUGGUACCAUCUGCAUGGGAUCUGUGGGUUGUGCCUCUAUAAUCUACACCAUCAUUAUGCCCUCACCAUCCACAGUGACUCUCUCUGAAGAAUUUGAAUUAAUGAGUUAAAACAACAUUUAAUUUCCCAUUGGGAUCAAUAAAGCAUUUUGAGUUGAAUGUGAAUAAAGGUGUUGUUGAAAAGGUUUCCACUUGGAAAGUGGAAGAAAUGAAAAUUGGAGCAAAAACGUUUUAGUCCUGUUAUGGAUGAUAUCCUCCACAGUAAUGUCCUGAUCACACUGUAAGCUCAGAUGAUAUUUUGAGAAGUAUGGUUCGAAUCCCCACCGAAGCCUUUCUGCAAGAGGUUUCCUCCCACAUGCCAGAAUUAAGCGAAUAAGGAUAAUUGGUCCUUAUAAAUUGCCCUAAGUGUGUGUGUGUGUGUGUGUGUGUUUAUAUGGCCUUGUGUCCAGGAAGUAUCCCACCUCCUUCAUGACAGCUGGAGAAAUGC